rnacentral:rRNA from 1 species
AAACCAACAGGGAUUGCUCUAGUAACGGCGAGUGAAGCAGCAAUAGCUCAAAUUUGAAAUCUGGCGUCUUCGACGUCCGAAUUGUAAUUUGUAGAGGAUGCUUCUGAGUAACCACCGACCUAAGUUCCUUGGAACAGGACGUCAUAGAGGGUGAGAAUCCCGUAUGCGGUCGGAAAGGUGCUCUAUACGUAGCUCCUUCGACGAGUCGAGUUGUUUGGGAAUGCAGCUCUAAAUGGGAGGUAAAUUUCUUCUAAAGCUAAAUAUUGGCCAGAGACCGAUAGCGCACAAGUAGAGUGAUCGAAAGAUGAAAAGCACUUUGGAAAGAGAGUUAAAAAGCACGUGAAAUUGUUAAAAGGGAAGGGAUUGCAACCAGACUUGCUCGCGGUGUUCCGCCGGUCUUCUGACCGGUCUACUCGCCGCGUUGCAGGCCAGCAUCGUCUGGUGCCGCUGGAUAAGACUUGAGGAAUGUAGCUCCCUCGGGAGUGUUAUAGCCUCUUGUGAUGCAGCGAGCGCCGGGCGAGGUCCGCGCUUCGGCUAGGAUGCUGGCGUAAUGGUCGUAAUCCGC